GCCGGGUGUGGUGGCUCACGCCUGUAAUCCCAGCACUUUGGGAGGCUGAGGUGGGUGGAUCACCUGAGGUCAGGAGUUUGAGACCAGCCUGGCCAACAUAGUGAAACCCCAUCUCUA
rnacentral:SRP_RNA from 1 species